AAAUCGUGGCCAAAGGUGUUUCGGGGAAAACGUCAACCAGUGAAACUCGGAACCAUGACUCUCUAGGUUGCUAGAAAAGAUUAGUGGCGGACGGGUGAGUAACAUUUAGGAAUCUACCUAGUAGUGGGGGAUAGCUCGGGGAAACUCGAAUUAAUACCGCAUACGACCUACGGGUGAAAGGGGGCGCAAGCUCUUGCUAUUAGAUGAGCCUAAAUCAGAUUAGCUAGUUGGUGGGGUAAAGGCCCACCAAGGCGACGAUCUGUAACUGGUCUGAGAGGAUGAUCAGUCACACCGGAACUGAGACACGGUCCGGACUCCUACGGGAGGCAGC
rnacentral:rRNA from 1 species